rnacentral:lncRNA from 1 species
AGAGGUCACGAGUUUGAGGCCAUAACAGAAGUGUUCCUGGUGCAGCCCUGUCAGAUUCCAACAAAUCUGUGAAUUCUGCU